UGGCGGCAGGCCUAACACAUGCAAGUCGAGCGGUAACAUUUCUAGCUUGCUAGAAGAUGACGAGCGGCGACGGGUGAGUAACGCGUAGAAAUCUACCUAGUAGUGGGGGGAUAGCCCAGAGAAAUUUGGAUUAAUACCGCAUACGCCCUACCGGGGGAAAGCGGGGGAUCUUCGGACCUCGUGCUAUUAGAUGAGUCUGCGUCGGAUUAGCUUGUUGGUGAGGUAAUGGCUCACCAAGGCGACGAUCCGUAGCUGGUCUGAGAGGAUGACCAGCCACACUGGAACUGAGACACGGUCCAGACUCCUACGGGAGGCAGCAGGUGGGGAAUAUUGCACAAUGGGCGCAAGCCUGAUGCAGCCAUGCCGCGUGUGUGAAGAAGGCCGUUAGGGUUGUAAAGCACUUUCAGCAGUGAGGAAAGGGGUGUCGUUAAUAGCGCCAUCCUGUGACGUUAACUGCAGAAGAAGGACCGGCUAACUCCGUG
rnacentral:rRNA from 1 species